rnacentral:rRNA from 1 species
GACGAACGCUGGCGGCGUGCUUAACACAUGCAAGUCGAACGGACAGGCCCUGCUUUUGUGGGGUGCUCGAGUGGCGAACGGGUGAGUAACACGUGAGUAACCUGUCCUUGACUUUGGGAUAACUUCAGGGAAAUGGGGCUAAUACCGGAGAGGAUCUCCUGCUGCAUGGUGGGCGUUGGAAAGUUUCGGCGUUUGGGGAUGUACUCGCUGCUUAUGCGCUUGUUGGUGGGGUAGUGGCCUACCAAGGCUUUGACGGGUAGACGGCCUGAGAGGCUGACCGGACACACUACGCCUGAGAGACGGCGCAGACGGGAACGGGAGGCAGAGGUGGAGAGUCUGGCACAGCGGCCGGGAGCCAGAGGUGGCGACGCCGCGUGCGGGAAACCAGCUUACGGGUGGUAAACCGAUGUCGCCUGAGACGAGGCGUGAGUGACGGUACCGGGUAAAGAAGCACCGGCUAACUACGUG